GUUUACUGGUGGUUCCCAGAAUAUCUAAAAUUAGGAUGGGAGGCAGAUCUUUUAGUUAUCAGGUUCCUCUCCUGUGGAACCAGCUCCCAGCCUUAGUCUGUGAGGCAGACACCUUGUCUACUUUUAAGAAUAGGCUUAAAACAUUUUUAUUUGAUAGGGGCUAUGGUUAUGAAAAAAUGAUAAUAAUUGAUUUUAGCAAAUGGCUUCAAUAUAACAUAGAGUGAAAGAACUGACGGGGAUCUGAAUACUGUCCUCAAGUAUAAAAGUGAAUAACCAGGAUUCACUUCAACAGGAUCUGCAGACUGAUAAUUUCCCUUAGAGACGCUCAGAGAACAGAGUCAACCCUGAUGCAGCUGCACAGUUUCAGCAAUGGGUGGAACCGGAGAGCAACGAGCCAUCUGCUACUCAUCAGCAGACUUCUUAAGGAGCAGGGAGACGCACAUCAGCGCUGGAUGAUUACUCAAUCUUGGUCAAUCCUCCACUUUCAGAACCUGCCAUAAGACACGGAUCCACGCCUGUCUCCCCGCUCCAGCCUCUUCUGACCAGCCAGCUCUCUGCCGCCUCCGCACCCUCCCCCCUCUCAGGACUCCGAGGAUUCGCCCUGUCGCGCGCUCCUCCUGCCACUCACCAGCCAACCGGACCCUCCUCUCUCCUCUUCUCUCCUCCCUACCCAGAACGCUGGGCCCCAGGAUUUCUGGACUAUAAAGAACUGAGCUAAGCUCCAAAUCGUCACCUACCUUAACGGUUCUCCUUUAGUUAAGAUAAUAAAUAUUUUGUUUUUUUCUAACCCAUCCUCUUGACUCUGAAGUUGAUUCUGUAUGUCUUGGGUCAGACGGUUAACCCCUAACAUGACAAUAGCUGUUUUUACAGGACAAGAGCAUUUGCAAAACGGGAUUUGCCACGGCUCCCUGGGGAGGACAAAGGUUGUUUAUAAGAUCAGACCGUGGCGGUAACAUGGCACAAUCAUGGCAAUUUUAUAAAAGAUUAGGCGAUGGCGGCAUAAAGGGUGUAUGGGGGCGGUCUCUGCACUGCCGCAGACUUCCGUUGAUCUUGGACAUAACUUGCUUUUUAUUGCGAAUGAAACCGUGAUCGUUAAGUUUUUUUAACAAGCAGCUCCUAAAGGUGUCUGUCACCAUCAGUCCCUGUGCAGUCUCUGGUGAUCUGAGCUUCAGCUCCAACAGAGAGGCUCAUGGAGCGCUGCUUUGCUCCAGUUUUUCAUCUCAGCUGUUUUUGUUCAAAAAGCAAACCUUAUUGCCCGUGUUUACUUUCAUUUUCAACAAACUUGCCAGCCGGAGCUCAGCAAUAACUCCCCACGUCAUCAUGACAUCUGCCUCUGUUGCGCCAGUGCGCAUACGACAGACCAUUACAGCAAGAUUACUACCAAGCAAGGCGGAACGAAUGCCUCAAAAUUUGCGCAAUGCCAUGCUGGCAUGGCGCGUUUAUAGACAUACCAUUGCGGUAAUAUUACGCCGAUUUGCCGGCAUGGUGUGUCUUAUAAAAAGGGCUUAGGACACUGGUAUUUGGAGGAGUUUAAGGUGGAUCUGCUGAGUCCCGUGGCUGCAGAACAAUCAUAAACCUUCAGAAAUUAGAUAUUUGCUGACACCCUGAGCUUGGUUUUGUCUAAGCUUCUUUGCAUUGUGGGUAAACCUAUUGACUUUGGUCCUGACGUUUCUGAAGUCUUGUGGUUCAUCCAGGUGAAACUUCUACCUGAGCUGAGUGGCCAUGCUUUACAUAAAGGAGGCUUUCACUUGCAGUCUGUCCAAACAAGACAAACAUGUUUAGGAUUGUCCUAGAUCAUUCUCUUGUCAACGUUAGCAUUUCAUCUGAGCCCGAGGUGGAGCGCUUGUUUUUUUCCUUAUGUCAUUUCUCUGAGCCUUGACCUCUGACCCCAGAGUGAAUUCACAUGAAAGUUCAGCAGCCGUCUUAACUGAGUUCUACUUGUGACAAAACUGUUGAACAGUGGACCCAAAAUUGUUUAGAAAUGACCUUUAACCCUUCCCAGAUUGAUGAGCAGAAGCUCGCCAUAAUCACUUCUGACGAUCUUGUGUUAACAGACACUCGUAUGCUCUGGAGAAAACAGAUUUUAAUAAAGCUUUACAGCCCGGAUGAAACUUGUCUC